rnacentral:rRNA from 1 species
AACAUUUCACAACACGAGCUGACGACAGCCAUGCAGCACCUGUCUCACGGUUCCCGAAGGCACUAAGGCAUCUCUGCCAAAUUCCGUGGAUGUCAAGAGUAGGUAAGGUUCUUCGCGUUGCAUCGAAUUAAACCACAUGCUCCACCGCUUGUGCGGGCCCCCGUCAAUUCAUUUGAGUUUUAACCUUGCGGCCGUACUCCCCAGGCGGUCGACUUAACGCGUUAGCUCCGGAAGCCACUCCUCAAGGGAACAACCUCCAAGUCGACAUCGUUUACGGCGUGGACUACCAGGGUAUCUAAUCCUGUUUGCUCCCCACGCUUUCGCACCUGAGCGUCAGUCUUUGUCCAGGGGGCCGCCUUCGCCACCGGUAUUCCUCCAGAUCUCUACGCAUUUCACCGCUACACCUGGAAUUCUACCCCCCUCUACAAGACUCAAGCCUGCCAGUUUCAAAUGCAGUUCCCAGGUUAAGCCCGGGGAUCUCACAUCUGACUUAACAGACCGCCUGCGUGCGCUUUACGCCCAGUAAUUCCGAUUAACGCUUGCACCCUCCGUAUUACCGCGGCUGCUGGCACGGAGUUAGCCGGUGCUUCUUCUGCGGGUAACGUCAAUCGACGCGGUUAUUAACCGCAUCGCCUUCCUCCCCGCUGAAAGUACUUUACAACCCGAAGGCCUUCUUCAUACACGCGGCAUGGCUGCAUCAGGCUUGCGCCCAUUGUGCAAUAUUCCCCACUGCUGCCUCCCGUAGGAGUCUGGACCGUGUCUCAGUUCCAGUGUGGCUGGUCAUCCUCUCAGACCAGCUAGGGAUCGUCGCCUAGGUGGGCCAUUACCCCGCCUACUGGCUAAUCCCAUCUGGGUUCAUCCGAUAGUGAGAGGCCCGAAGGUCCCCCUCUUUGGUCUUGCGACGUUAUGCGGUAUUAGCCACCGUUUCCAGUGGUUAUCCCCCUCUAUCGGGCAGAUCCCCAGACAUUACUCACCCGUCCGCCACUCGUCACCCAAGGAGCAAGCUCCUCUGUGCUACCGUCC